GGCGGACGGGUGAGUAACGCGUAGGAAUCUACCUAAUGGUGGGGGAUAGCCCAGGGAAACUUGGAUUAAUACCGCAUAAGUCCUAGGGGAGAAAGCGGGGGAUCUUCGGACCUCGUGCCAUUAGAUGAGCCUGCGUAGGAUUAGCUAGUUGGUGAGGUAAGAGCUCACCAAGGCGACGAUCUUUAGCUGGUCUGAGAGGAUGAUCAGCCACACUGGGACUGAGACACGGCCCAGACUCCUACGGGAGGCAGCAGUGGGGAAUAUUGGACAAUGGGGGCAACCCUGAUCCAGCCAUGCCGCGUGUGUGAAGAAGGCCUUCGGGUUGUAAAGCACUUUCAGAUGUGAGGAAAGGUUGCGGAUUAAUACUCUGUAGCUGUGACGUUAACAUCAGAAGAAGGACCGGCUAACUCCGUGCCAGCAGCCGCGGUAAUACGGAGGGUCCGAGCGUUAAUCGGAAUUACUGGGCGUAAAGCGCGC
rnacentral:rRNA from 1 species